rfam:Triticum aestivum genome assembly, contig: Triticum_aestivum_CS42_TGACv1_scaffold_556069_7AL
UUAAUACUCCCUCUGUCCCAAAAAGCUUGUCUUAGAUUUGUCUAGAUACAGAUGUAUCUAGACACGUUUUAGUGUUCGAUACAUCCAUAUCUAGAUAAAUCUAAGACAAGUUAUUUGGGACGGAGGUAAUAUUAA